GAUGAACGCUGGCGGCGUGCCUAAUACAUGCAAGUCGAACGCGCUAACUUGUUAGCGAGUGGCGAACGGGUGAGUAACACGUAGGCAACAUGUCCAUACGACGAGGAUAACGGCUGGAAACGGCUGCUAAGACUGGAUAGGAAUAUAAAAGGCAUCUUUAAUAUUUUAAAGGACUUUUAGGAGUACGCGUAUGGGGUGACCUGCGGCGCAUUAGCUAGUUGGUGGGAUAAGAGCCUACCAAGGCGAUGAUGCGUAGCCGGACUGAGAGGUUGAUCGGCCACAUUGGGACUGAGACACGGCCCAGACUCCUACGGGAGGCAGCAGUAGGGAAUUUUCGGCAAUGGAGGGAACUCUGACCGAGCAACGCCGCGUGAAUGAUGAAAUACUUCGGUAUGUAAAGUUCUUUUAUUGGGGAAGAAAGGCUAGUGGAAAAACUAGAUUGACGGUAUCCGAUGAAUAAGCCCCGGCUAACUAUGUGCCAGCAGCCCGCGGUAAUACAUAGGGGGCAAGCGUUAUCCGGAAUUAUUGGGCGUAAAGGGUGCGUAGGCGGUAUGUUAAGUUUAAGGUAUAAGCUCAAGGCUCAACCUUGGGAGGCUUUAGAAACUGGCAUGCUAGAGAACAGUAGAGGCAAGUGGAAUUCCAUGUGUAGCGGUAAAAUGCGUAAAUAUAUGGAGGAACACCAGUGGCGAAGGCGGCUUGCUGGGCUGUAACUGACGCUAAGGCACGAAAGCGUGGGGAGCAAACAGG
rnacentral:rRNA from 1 species